rnacentral:rRNA from 1 species
GAUGAACGCUAGCGGCAGGCCUAACACAUGCAAGUCGAGGGGCAGCACAGAAACAGCAAUGUUUUGGUGGCGACCGGCGGACGGGUGCGUAACGCGUAUGCAACCUACCUUUAACAGGGGGAUAACGGAGAGAAAUUUCCACUAAUACCCCAUAACAUCGAUCAAGGCAUCUUGAUUGGUUGAAAACUCCGGUGGUUACAGAUGGGCAUGCGUUGUAUUAGGUAGUUGGUGAGGUAAUGGCUCACCAAGCCUACGAUACAUAAGGGGACUGCGACGUUAGCCCCCCACACUGGUACUGAGACACGGACCAGACUCCUACGGGAGGCAGCAGUGGGGAAUAUUGGUCAAUGGCAGCAACCCUGAACCAGCCAUGCCGCGUGCAGGAAGACGGCUAUAUGAGUUGUAAACUGCUUUUAAACAGGGAUAAAGCACAGUAUGUAUACUGUGUUGAAGGUACUGUAAGAAUAAGGAUCGGCUAACUCCGUGCCAGCCGCCGCAGUAA